UACGUAGGUGACAGGCGUUGUCCGGAUUUACUGGGCGUAAAGAGCGCGCAGGCGGUCGAUCAAGUCGAGUGUGAAAGCCCCCGGCUCAACUGGGGAGGGUCAUUCGAUACUGAUCGACUCGAAGGCAGGAGAGGGUAGUGGAAUUCCCGGUGUAGUGGUGAAAUGCGUAGAUAUCGGGAGGAACACCAGUGGCGAAGGCGACUACCUGGCCUGUUCUUGACGCUGAGGCGCGAAAGCUAGGGGAGCAAACGGG
rnacentral:rRNA from 1 species